rnacentral:rRNA from 1 species
AGUGAACGCUGGCGGUAUGCCUAAUACAUGCAAGUCGAGCGACAGCACGGUAAGCUUUUUCCUUUGCGGUUAGCGGCUGACGGACGGGUAACACAUCCAUCACCUACCUCUAAGACUUGGGGAACUUCGGAAAAACACUGACAAUACCGCAUAAUAUAUCGAACCGCAUAGUUCACUGGUUCUACACACCUUUCCUGUUACUACUAGCUGCAUUCGAGCCGGCUUAGUUGGUGGGUAAGGGAACGGCUAACCAACGAAACGAUGCGUAGCCGAACUGAGAGGGUGAUCGGCCACACUGGAACUGAGACACGGUCCAGACUCCUACGGGAGGCAGCAGUGGGGAAUAUUAGGCAAUGGGCGCAAGCCUGACCCAGCAAUGCCGCGUGAGUGAAGAAGGUCUUCGGGUCGUAAAACUCUUUUAUUAGGAAAGAAAAAAUGUGUAAGAAAACCUGGACGUCUUGACGGUACCUAAUGAGAAAGCAACGGCUAACUACGUG